GCAGAGAACUCCCCUCGUACCUUUUGCAUCAUGAUUAGAAAGGGAAAUACAUGCAAAGAGACCUCUAGUUUGUAACCUCGAAACCCGACGAGCUACUUCGAGACAGCCUAUCCAGGGCCAACCCGUCUCUGUGGCAAAAGAGUGGGAAGAUCUCCAAGUAGAAGCAAAAGACCUACCGAGCCGGGUUAUAGCUAGUUGCCCAACAAAUGAAUAAAAGUUCAGCCCCGCUAGGCCCAAAUCACAACAGUUACACACCAAAAGACGAAGCGCCACUAGACGGGAGUUAGUCAGAGGAGGUACAGCUCCCCUGACCAAGGACACAACCUUUUAAGGAGAUUAAGGAAUACAUAAAAAUCAAGGCCACAGGCCUCAGUGGGCCUAAAAGCAGCCACCUGAACAGAAAGCGUUAAAGCUCAGACCAAAUAAAGCCUAUCAUCACAUUAACUACUCCAAAAUCCCCUAUCGCACUGGGCCUUUCUAUGCCCCCAUAGAAAAGACUAUGCUGAAAUGAGUAACAAGAAGACCGAACUUCUCCCCGCACAAACGUAAAUCGAAUUGGACCAUCCACCCGAUAAUUAACGAACCCAAUAACAGAGGGCAAUACACCACCGCCACCGCAAACCAAGAAAACCGUGUUCUACACCAAUCGUUACCCCUACACAGGAGUGCUAAACCAAGGAAAGAAUAAAAGAAAAAAAAGGAACUCGGCAAACCUAAACCCUUUCCUUUUACCAAAAACAUCGCCUCUUGCCCACACAGUAUAAGAGG
rnacentral:rRNA from 1 species